UUUCUGAUCCAGAUUCAACGUCAUCUCACCGUCACGAUCAAAACACCAAGUUUAACCGGCGUGCGAGAGGGCGGAGGCCGGCACGACGCACACCUCCACCAGCGGCAAGCCGGCGAUGCUCCCGCCGCCACGCCAUUAUAUAAUCCCGUCCCCAUCCCGAUAGACACGACGAAUCCCCAACCCACGCACGGGCGAAGAAAUUAUUGAGAAAAAUUAAUCCGAGCCCGCCGCCGCCAGCCACCAUACUCCCCUCCCUCCUCGCCACCGUCGGCUCCCUCGCCACAGGCACCGUCGCGGCCCUCGCGGCGGCUGCGGCGGGGGCGGCGGCGCACGCGGGCUCCCUGCCCCGCUCCCGCUUCGCGGCGGCGGUCAUGUCGACGGCCCGCGUCUACGCCGACGUGAACGUGCACCGCCCAAGGGAGUACUGGGACUACGAGGCCCUCGCCGUCCAAUGGGGUGAGCAGGAUGAUUACGAGGUUGUGCGGAAAGUAGGCAGAGGGAAAUACAGUGAAGUAUUUGAAGGAAUUAAUGUAACAAAUGAUGAGCGUUGUGUCAUUAAAAUCCUCAAGCCUGUUAAGAAAAAGAAGAUAAAGAGGGAAAUCAAGAUUCUUCAGAACCUUUGUGGCGGUCCAAAUAUUAUUAAGCUUCUCAAUAUUGUGAGAGAUCAGCAAUCCAAAACUCCAAGUUUGGUAUUCGAAUAUGUAGACAGCACAGAUUUCAAAGUUCUUUAUCCAACAUUUACAGAUUAUGACGUCCGGUUCUAUAUUUAUGAACUUCUCAAGGCAUUAGAUUACUGCCACUCGCAAGGUAUUAUGCAUCGUGAUGUCAAGCCUCAUAAUGUUAUGAUUGACCAUGAGCUUCGCAAGCUUCGCUUAAUUGAUUGGGGACUUGCUGAGUUUUACUUUCCUGAGAAGGAGUACAAUGUUCGUGUUGCUUCAAGGUAUUUUAAAGGGCCUGAAUUGCUGGUUGACUUCCAAGGGUACGAUUACUCUUUGGACAUGUGGAGCCUUGGUUGUAUGUUUGCUGGAAUGAUAUUCCGCAAGGAACCAUUCUUCUAUGGCCAUGAUAACCAUGAUCAGCUUGUCAAGAUAGCCAAGGUGCUAGGUACUGAUCAAUUUAAUGCUUAUUUGAGUAAAUACAGAAUUGUGCUUGAUCCUCAGCUUGAGGCACUGCUUGGGAGGCAUAGCAAGAAACCUUGGUCUAAGUUCGUCAGUGCUGAUAAUAGGCAUCUCGUCUCCGCAGAGGCAAUUGAUUUUCUCGAUAGACUUCUUCGCUAUGACCAUCAAGACAGGCUUACAGCCCGUGAAGCUAUGGUAGGUUCAUGUCAGCUAUUCAUUUAAAAGAUGAGACGGUAUUGGUUGACCAUGUACAUUGCAAACAGUGCAACUUGUUGCCCUGGAGUCAGGCGCAUGUCUACUUUCAACAGGUUAGGGCAGCAGAAAACAGCAGGCCGAGGUCGUAGACAGUGGAAUAGAAAAACAAUCUGAUGGUGUUGAGCUGGAGUGCUGGAAUAUGGUCAGUGUGUUGCAGAUUUGGAGCGAUCUAUCGUCGACACAUUCCAAGGGUUGAUAACUGGAACGGAUGCUUACAUGCUCUUCUCUGACACGCUGAGCGCUGAGUACUAUGUUUGAAUUUUAGAAAUUGAAAGUUUGUUUUUGUAGUAGACUUGAAAGUUUACCGGAAGUCUAUAAAGCAGAUACGCUAUGAAUUGCCAAGAUACUCGAAACUAACGAGGUCGGAUAUUGUAGGAGUCCACCACGUCAUCCAGAAAUGGCAAACAAAUGGGCUAUCACUUUCAGUAGUAUCAUGUCUAGUAAUCAA